ensembl:lncRNA
ACUCGAAUGAGAGUUUUCAGAAAUCCUAAAUUGAAUAGAUCUGGUAUCACAAGCAGAGAUAAACUGCAGCUGCAGCUUCGCCUGAGGAACCCAGGGUCUGAACUUCUUGUUUGAGCCACAGAAGCUGGAACUUUUUCUGUGGACAAUAAGUCAGGAUGUCAGAUAUUUCUGUGAAUGACCACCUUGAGGGGAUAUUGUCUGAUUUUGAGGCCCUGAAGAGAUCCUUUGAUAUUGAUGAUGUCGAUGAGAUCCCGACGUUCUCGCCGACCUCCUCAGUCACAUCCCCCAUCAGCCCAAGCUCCAUUCUCAGCAAAGCCAAUGACGUGCGCAGUGGGGUCAACCACAUGUCCCCGACAUACCGCUCACGGAUAAGCCUGAGUUCCAGUCCUGCUCAAAGCCCUGCCAUGAAGAACAGGAUGGUUUCCAGUCUGUCCUUUAAUCGAGGGACCAUGGGAAAGCCUACUGUCAACUCUAACAUCGGGAUCAACCGUGCAGCCUCCUUCCAGAACAGAUUCAAUCCCAACGGCUUUAAUUCCUGUUCAGGGCCUGGCAGUGACAAUGACAGCCUUCAUAGUUCCUCCUCCAGUCUGGAAUACCAGGCAUCGUCCAAAUUGAGCUCCUACACCAGCCCACCACAAAGUCCAAUGGGGGUUGGUGACUACAAAGCCCAGCGUUUGGGAAGCCCUGCUUUGAAGAAGUUUUCCUCUCAUGGGAAUGUGUUCCACUCAGAGCUUGAGGGCCCACUAGUGAUCCCAACUGAGCCGUUGGGUAUUAGCCAUGGCUCCAUGCCCUCGCUGGACCUCCAGAUGGCUGAGAGUGGAGGAAUGAGGCAAGUCGUGUCUCCUGUGUUAUCAAGAUUCCCUAAUGCUCCUGUUACCUGGAACGCACAUCGUCUCCAGAACCACAGCACAAUUGGCAAGGAUCCCUCUUCCAUCAACCAUCAGCCUCCUAAAACCAAGGAGCCUGCUCGACUCAACAAGUUCCCACUUGAUCUUGACAACCUUGUGGUGAAACCCCAGUCUCCUGAUGUGUCUGUGGCACCAAAACCUCCACCAAGGUUCCACCCUGUGUCUCCGAGCCCCACUGUGUCUGCCAGCCCUUCUGCUUCCGUCAGCAGCUUGGACAGCACUGAUCUUCCCCUGGUUCACAGCUACACUACAGAGAAACGUGAGCCUGUCACCCCUACAGGAGCAAUUCCAGUUCCCAACAUCAGUGAAUCUCCUGUCUUGCUCUCCCCCGCCCAGACACCGCUCUUCAAUCUGGUUUCUAAGCCUCAGGUUGUCCAGAUCGCUCCUGCUACAUCGCCACAACCCACACAAGUCAACAUUGUGAGCAGUACAUCACGUAGUGAGUCUCCGGCCAAGGACAGCGUGGGCUCCAUUCUCCAGAGGAUUGCCAGUUUCUCCAGAGUUGAAGCCAGAGUGCCAAUGCCAAGCCCAAGUCCUGUCACAUCUUUAAGCAAUGGAAUCAAGAGAGAGUCUCCAGCUGUACAACAUAAGGAGCUGAAGAGAUCAGAAGGUCUGGAGGCAGGCCUUGUAGCUGAAGUGCUGCUGUCACCACAGCUGUCUUUCCACAUCUCUCCAGUUUACAGCAGUGAAAGGCAGAAAAAAAUUGGGUGAGGCAAGAGGGGAAGAGAAAAAAAAAACAAAAAAAGAAGGAGGAAUUCCUGGCAUAUCAACAAAUAGCUGAGUGUGAACAGUGAUAACAGUGCAGGGAGGCCUGUCAUCACUGCCUAUCCAGUACAGGGGUCCCUUGCGGCCGCAGCCGAGCAGAAUCCUGCCUGAGGCGAUUGAGUCAGGCCUGUUUACAGCACAGGCUCUCAGGUGUGCCACCCCUUGCUUUACCACAGCCCCAGACCUUCAGCCUGUAGUCCCCAUUCACCACGGGGAUCAGCGAGGGGAGAAGAAAAGCCUGUCGGGUGCCUCGGCACUGCAAUUUAAUGGCUUUGUGGCCUGAUUGACAGAAAUGUGUUACAUGUUUGAGACUGAGGCCACAGCCUGCGGGAUAUCAAAGGAAGUGGACUGAACUGCCGCGGUCUGCGGCACGGCGGCAGAGUGUGCAAAAUUACAACUCCGGCAGUGUAUCAUGUCCCCUGGGUCAGGACAUCUGGGUCUUCAAAAAGCUGCUGAUGAAAGCAAGAUGCAUGAACAAAGAGCUGCAUCAUGGAACCCUAACAUGAUGUGGAGGCAAGGAAAGGCAAAAAAAGGAAGGCAAAAAAAAAGCGUGGUUAACGAAGGCAAGGACGAGGGCUUGUCGGAGCUAGUUAGACAGACAGGAUGAGGACGAGGUCUGCUUUCCAUGAGGUUUGUUUACAAACAUCAAACAGCAAUGAGGGAACAUUUGGGGUUGCGGAGCUGGCACUGUGGGCCAACAUGCGGUACUGCGUGUUGAUCAGACCUAAUCUAAGCCACCUAUCCUUCAGAGGGAACCGUGAUGAGACGGCGAGUGGUGGGACAUGUGCAAGCAUUCAGACCCAAGCUGCAGUAAAGACACUGAUUUACAGUUUGAUUUAUGUACAAUAAAUAGUAUUCUUUUAGUUGAAGCCA